UGUAAGGUAGGUCUGGACAUCUUCCUCUACCAAAGAAUAGGUUUUCAAGUAGGGCUAUAUAUAGGCCAAAAAGAUAACAGAAUGAUCUCAAAAUCCGCAAAAUAAAAACUGACAACCGCUCAACCCCUAAUUUGAUCGCUCAACAGUUUCCCUCUAAUCGCAGGACCGCUCAGCGCCCAAAACUGCCGCUCAGCGCCCAUUUUCACUGCUCAGCGCUGGUCAACUGAUUGACUUUUCUUGUUGACUGAUUGACUCCUAGGUAGUCUCUCAAUGACC
rnacentral:lncRNA from 1 species